rnacentral:rRNA from 1 species
ACGCUCGACACCUACGGGGGGCAGCAGUUGGGAAUAUUGGACAAUGGAGGAAACUCUGAUCCAGUGACGCCGCGUGAAGGAAGAAGGUCUUCGGAUUGUAAACUUAUUUUGUCAGGGAAGAAAAAAUGACUGUACCUGAAGAAAAAGCACCGGCUAACUACGUGCCAGCAGCCCGGUAAUCUGAGCGGGCUGGCAAGGC